GCCUCCGCAGGACCGCCUCCUCCUGGAAGUCGGCGGGAACCUCGGGGAGCCGCUCUGCGCCCGGUCCCCGCACCCCUGCGGGCUAGAAGGCGCGAAGAAGCCCGGCUUCCCGACCCCCGGAGCGGCUGGGAUAGAGGCGUCUGGGCAGCGGACCGCGCGGCUCCUGCGGUUUCUGCCUCUGCCUUGGGCUUGAAGCCAAGGCCGUACCUACGGCCGGUGCCCACGGCCAGUGCCCUCCAGCCCCCGGCACCCGCUGACCCCGCGCGCCUUCCUCUGCUCCGUCACCAGCUCCUGCACCUGCCUUUGCAAGGGUCUCUCCGCCUUCACCGAGAACCUGGGGGCAGAGGCCCAGGGCACUCAGGGUGUCCGUUACUGAGGAAGGGGAGGGAAAAUCAUUUUCUCUCUACCCUUGGAAGCCCUUGGCUGGGAACUCUGUCACAAGAGAGCAGCAAAAGAAAAACACAAGUUUAUUAACACGUAUACCUCCUGGGUGCCUGGGAGAGACCCGCGGGAAAGGAGCCCCUCCCCCAUGUGGGCUGGAAGGAAAUCCGGUACCACCGUCCCCUAAGGACAAGAGAGGAACGUGUGCGGGAACAGGAGAAAGCUGAGGGAUUCCCGUGCACAAGAGGGAUCCCCAGCAACACAGAUCCAGGUGACCCAGGACCACAAGAUAUGGGGGCCUGGCAUUUGCCAUCUAGGGAUGAGCCUCAGCAGCUUAUCUUGUAACCCAGCCCCUGCUCCCUGAGGCCCACAAGGCCCUUGCCCCUCUCUCCGGGAGCUGGAGGCCUUGGGAGACCAAGGAGGCUGCCCAGCAGGUACCUAGACACAAUCUCCUUCCUGGAUUCCUUUUGCGGUGUUCUUCCAUCAUUCCUGCAGGAUUUCGUCGUCUGCAUCCUCUGCGAGGUACUUCUAUUCAAUCUUUCAAGGCCUGUCUAUGACAAUGUACUCCUUCUACUCUUGUUCUUCUGAGAAAGUCUUUUUCUCCUGCACUUGGAAGGAUAGUGUCAUUGUAACAGAUUCCACAUAGGUAGCUGUUUCUCUCAAUGCUUUCAAUAUUUGACUCCACUCUUGGUGCUUGGAUGGUUUCUGAGGAGAAGGCCGCCAGCAUUCUUAUCCCGGCUCCCCUCCAGGCAAGGCCUUCCCACCUCCUUCAUCAAACCACCAUAAAAGCCCUCGACUUUAGCCUCAUCUUUGAGUCUGCCUUCCUCAGGAAGGUCCACGCCCUGUAAAACGUACAUAAAUGUGUGUGUCUUCCUCCCGUUCAUCUGUCUCUGAGUCUCAUUUCCACACCCAGCCAGGGGCCCUAAGAGGGGAAAGAAAAAUGUUCCCUUCCCUGAAAGCUCUUGGUACAUUAAUCAUUUCCUGUUCUGAUGACUCCAAAAAUUUCCCCUAAGAAUCUCACUCUCAGGCGUUCUCUGUCUCUAAAACUUGUGUUUUUGUCUUUCAGCAUGACUUGUCACUUUUCUGAAAGCCAAACACGAGUGCUGGUGAAAGGAGCUGAGGUCAACAGGCCUCCCACUUCCCCCCAUGGGUGGGCACAGAAGGGGCUGGGAGUACCUACCCCUCAGGUCUGUUGGGCUCUGGCGGACAGUCUUCCCCACGCACAGGCCUUGUUAGGGAGAAUGACGGCUUUGAGGGUAUAUUUAAAUGGUCAUUAUUGCCCUCCCGGAAGGGGUGGGGGGAGAGUGUGGGAAGGGAUUUUGUUCUCCAGUCUUCACUGGGAGAACCAAGUAGGACUCCCAAGGGUAAAAGUCACACAAGUGUGGGGGCUUCCGUAGGAGUGGCUGCUUCUGGUUUUUGACUUCAUGCUUGUCCACAGGAAACCUCCAGCAACUCCUGGUUGACCUGUUCCUCCCUCAUACUGGUUCCAGGGGUGGUUUCCACAACAGUGAGCUGGGAUGCCUCCCAAUGCGGUUGACCCUGUUGACCGCAGUUCUUUGACGGAGCUAAGAAAAGUUGUUAAUUUUCAGUUUGUUUAGCUUUUUUGUCAUUCCGAGGACAGGAGCGACAACUUCUAAACAGUUGAUGUGCAGGAUGAGAAACAAGAAGUGGUCCAGUUCAGUUUUAUCGAAGAUAUGUGCAUUGCUUGGCAAUUUCUUUAGGAUUUAGCAAGAAAGUGAACCUAGACUCCAGUCAGAACCAAAGAAGAACACUCCCUCUGUGGAACAAGAACUGCACUGGGAAGCCCAAAUUGCUUGGCACUGAAACCCUUAGGACCAGCCAGGAGCCUGCCCUUCCAACUCUGCAAAAAUACACUCUCUCCCUCUCAGUCAGAUUCCUUUGUGAAAUCCAGGAUGGCGUCAUCCAAAUUAGGGGAAGGCUCAGGUGAAUUUCCUCAGGUGGGAAAGCUCAAGCCAGAUUCUUCGUAAGUGGAACAUCUGUGGACUGAAGGUCCAAGUCCCCCGUCUUCACAGACCGGCAUCGGAGGCAGAGGCUAAACACCAUCCACACUCCCGUUCAAAGAGAACAAAACCAGGGGACACACCGAGUUCCAGCAGUUCCAGAGGCCAGUGAGCACAGGAUGCCACUUGACUGCGACUCAGUCGUGCUGGCUGGGAACUGUCCUCCGGACUCCUGGCCGCUCUGUCCCACUCAUCCGUCCUGUUCAUACGGCAUUUCUUUUACUGAGACUUUGUCCUAAACUUUGCUCAUUUCGUGCUGUCCUCCGGCUUUUCGAGUCCGCACCGUCGGCGUUCAGCCACCAUGCUCCUGACACCCCUGCGAUGUCAUGAACAUUGCUGGAGUGGAUUCCUUUAGACCUGGAGUCGGCAGACGAUGACCCCAGGCCACAUCUGGCCAGCUGCCCGUUUUUAUAAAGUUUUCUGGGAACACAGCCACACUUACUUUCUCAUAUUAUCUGUGGCUGCUUUCCUGAUGCAGCAGCAGAUGUGAGUCAUGUCAACAGACAAGCCUAAAAUAUUUCCCAUCCGGCCCCCUCAAGAAAAAGUGUUCCAACCUCCAUAUUAAACAACAACUGCGUUUGCAAACCUGGGAACAGGAGUCCUUGUCUACCUUGGCUUCCGAUACAGCUGCUGGCGGGGCGCACCCCCAGAUUUGUGGGUUUGUGAAUGGGACACGUAGAACAUGUCCUGAAGACCCUUAGAGGUUUGUUGUUCUGCUGAGAGACCACCUUAGCUCACCUGGCCGUGCCAACAAAAGAUUUUUCAAUCACACCUUUGGCUGCUGGCGGGGCUCUGGCCUUAACAUUUGCCUGAAAGGCAUCUCUUAAUUUCGGUGUUGGUUUUCAUCUGCAGCGGUGGGGAGUAAGAAACAGCUUUCUCUUUCAAGCCCUUUCAGCUUGGGCUCAUUGGUAUUUAACUGUUCUUCCCUUAGCUUAAAGCUCUAAUCUCACAUUUUACCAUAAACGGCGAGAAAGGCUGAGCCGGCUGUCAUCACUCUGGCCGGAAAUCUCUUUAGCGACAAGAGCCGGCGUGGAGGUGUCCGUUCCACGACAGUGCGGGCGACGGUGUGGAUGAAUUAUCUGCUGCUCCAUUAAGAAUCAGGUAACAUUUUCCCUGGGAGCCCUGUGUCCCACCUGGUUAGGAUGGGUCCAAACCUAAGGUUCUGCAUUUGUUCAGAACCCCCAACCCCCGCAAUGUGCCUUAAAUCACAAGGAGGGGGGACCGGAGCCUAAAAACUGCCACUAGGCACCAAGCUAAAACCUGUCAGGCCCAUCGCUUCUCUUUCCUUUCUGUCAGGGACCAAGGUCCUGUGGUGACAGCGAGGGUCAGAAAAUGGUCAUUCACGGAUGUGUGUCUGCCAUCCUGGCUGUGUCCGGGACAGGGCAACUCCGACCCCGGCCAGGGGUCACAGGUGGAGGGAGGCGUCGUCGGCAUGCAGAGCUCUCCUGCAACAGCGCUAGGAUUUUCAGUUCCGUCCGUGUUGCUCCAAGGUUGCAAACUAUCACCACAGCAUAAAUGUGCAUGCAUGUACACUGCCCAAUCAUGAAAAUCAAAGUUCCCUCCAAUUUCACAAGGCCGCACCCAGCGCUGUGGCUGACCUCCUUCCAUGUGCCCUGUCACGGCGGGAUCUGAGGGGUGGGGAGGGCGGGGAAAGAUCCAGAAGCAGGAGCAGAAUGGCUCCGUGCUUCACGGAGACAUUUUUCACUUGUGUAAGUUCUCCAGGACGGCAUCCCUCAAUGCCAAACCCCUCCAGUAGGCUAUGGGCGUUCUUUCCUUCCCAGUCCUACGAUAGCAGGUUUUACUCAGCUUUUUACUCUUGCCAAUCAAAUGGUGGUAGAGUAUCAUCUCUUUUUACCUAUUAUUUCUGUGGUGAUAAAUGAUUUUGGAGAUUUUUGCACAAGAUUUGUUGGUCUUCCUAGAUCUCUCUUCCCUAAAUUGCUUGUCCUAUCUUUGGCCCAUGUCCUUGUGAUCUCGCUGCUUGUCAUGGCUUCUUGCUAUGAUAUCUUCUCUCUCUCCAUCUCGCCCCAUCUAUCUGGGGACAAUUUAAAUAUAUUCUCCCAUGAU